GAGAGAGAUGGGUGCCUGACCCUGGUGAGGCUCUCAUGGCCAUCAACGCCAGGGGCAGGGCUUUGACCCAUUUCAACUUUGACCCGGCACAUACCUUAGCUAUUUUGGAUUUUAAGCGUUUGACCUGCGCGUUUCCACGAGACCUUGGGAUCGGGGGGUGGUACACAGAACCAAAUCUGUGUUAUGCCAAAUCUUUCUUUCCACCUGUCCCAGGUGUUUGUUAUUGAAAUGUGAGCCAUUUGUCAAAUUAGAUUUUUCUUUGGAUGCCAUACCUGGGUAUUAGUUUGGUUUGUUAGCCACUUAACGACUGACCUAGCAUCCCCCCUUCGCUGUUGGUAUUGCUUCUACCCAUCUGAAGAACCUAUCUAUCAUAACUAGGAGAUAGCGUUUAUCUUUAGAAUACAUUGUCGGGGCCCAUGUCGGUGUGGUCUAUGCUAAUAUCCUGAAAACAUGCAUUAGGUACUAAGUAUGAGCCCAUUGGACUUUGGUAUGGUUUCUUAGGAUUGUAGCUACCACAAAUGCUGCACUCGUCACAGAAUAAGUCUGUCAUAUCUUUCAUGUGAGGGUGCCACCAGAUGUGAGACACCUUCUGUAAAGUCCUUAGUUUGCCUUCGUGGGUGGGCCCAUGAGCUUCCCGUAUUAGUUCUGGGUCCAUCAGUGUGGACUGCUCCAUGGGCAUAGGCUGAGUCUGUAUAGAUAUUCACAGUCUUUCCUUUUCCUCUGAUGAGGGCCUGCGUCAAUCCGAUGAUUUCAGCUAAUUGGGCAGGUGCUGGUUGAGGGAUGAUGGCUGAUUCAAGAGUAACGUGUGAGCCGUCUGGGCCUGCUGCACCACUGCAUAGUCCGCCACAUUACCAUUCUCUCCCUUGUAGCAGCAGCCAUCUGUGUAUGGCCAUAGGUCAGGUUUGGUCAGUGGUGUGUUUCCCAGGUCGGGUCUUAGUUUCAAUUCUUGAGCAGCUGUUUCGGUGCAGGAGUGAGGUAGCCCUUCUUCCGCGUUGAGAGCGUCGGCCAUGUUCUUGUCCGUGUUAUCUAACUUGGAGGAGUGGUAACGAUUAGCGUCUAGGUAAACUUGUUAAAGUAAUUCCACAGCUACACACAUUUCUUACUGUCUGGCCAAAUGUUGAUGUCCCUAACGUCCACCUUUGGGUUAAUGACAGUGUGUGUAAAAUGCCUUCUAUAAUAUUUGUCAAAUUAAUUUUUAAACUAUAUGUCAAAUUAAAUCCAAGCAAUACCAGCAGCACAAAAGGAAUGCCAAUCAAAUAAUGACUCGACACGGCGGUCGGAAAAUCUCCGCCCAACCCUUUGACUCGGCGGUCACUUCAACACAGUUACACCACAGAGUCCCCAAUCAAUAUUUCCCGGUCUCAAGAAAUGUCCAAUCAGUCACAUUAAUCUGGAGAGAUCGGGUUUAAUUCCUUCACUCCUAGUCCAAUCUUAAUCUAUAACCGAGGCUCCUGGUGGGAUGCCAGCUCCACCAGUCCCAGUCUUGGCUACACGUCUCGAUCAAUUAACAAAACAUUUCAUAAUCACAUUCACAUUUCAUUUCACAGAGUCAUCAAAUCCUCACUGUACACCUAGCUGAGCGCCACAUCGACUAGUGCCAGACUAUAUGGAUAAGAUUUUAAAAUAUAUCACAGUUCACAUUUCACUAUGUUAUCAAAAUCCUCACUGUACACCUAGUUGAUUCAUAUCAACUAUUGCCAGACUAUAUGGAUAAGAUUUUACAAUAUAUCACUGAGUCAUCAAAUUCCUCACUGUACACCUAGCUGAUUCAUAUCAACUAUUGCCAGACUAUUUGAAUAUGAAAUGACAAUAUAUCACUGAGUCAUCAAAUUCCU
ensembl:lncRNA